GAAAAAAUGUAAACAAAAAGCUGUCUAACAAACCGCAUGCAAUAAAAAUGUUAAUUACUUUAAUUUGAUAUGAAAUUGAAAGUGUAAUUGAGCCGAACUAAUGAAGACAAACCAAACGCCAAUGGCCACAAACAAAAACAAAGGCAAGAACUGGUGAAUGAAAAGACAGACAAACGACUGCAUAACUGCAAUUCAUCAAGUGUGAAAGCAAUCGGCAUUUUUCAACAAUAAUUAUACUUACACGUGGAAAUUUUCCUGUAUUUUCCACACUGGCUUUUAUGAUAUAUGCGUGCAUGUACAGCUAUAAUUAACUACGUAGUUAUGUUUGUAUGUAGUAUGUACGAAUUAUUAUGCAUACUUCUGCUGGUGGCAAGCCGUGUCAUGACACCGCGCAAAUGGAAUGGAACGGAACUGUCGGCAUGCGCAAGCGCCGUCGAAACAAUCGCACAGGAACGAAAGUUCAGCCGAAAGAAAGGUAGUCACAACAACAACAUCAGCUAGACAAUGGACAGCAACAGAAGCUAUAAUUUCGAGUCACAUAUGUGUGGCUAAAUGCUACUUCCGUAAGUACAUGUGUGUGUGUGUAUGCGUUUUUAGCGAGUUUUUAGAGGGAAAGGUCCAAUGGCCAGCCAAGUAACCGGGCAGCCAAUUCUAAAUGUGAAAACGAAAUAAUAAUAAAUACAAUAGCGACUGCAAUCGCCAGUAAAUGUAUGACCCAGAGUUAAGUUGGUGCUAUUCCAGCAAUAACUGUUAAAUCAACAAUAUCAAUUACUGUUGCUUCUGAAAUACAUAUAUGAAAGUGUAGCACAUAACGUGGGGUAGCAGAUAAUGUGUGUUUAGGGCAAAAUGCCAAGUAAUUUAAAGCGCAAAAGGAAACGGAAAUAGGCUUUCGCGCUUCACUAAUCCCAUCAAAUCAGCCACCGAUUCUAAAACAGCAACAAGUGGAACUUUUUCGAGAACGAUUUAAAGUGACUCAGCUCGUUUUUAUCAUCAUCAAAAUUAACUAUCGGAUUAUAAUUUUUGAUAUGGUUUCCGAACUUACAAAAAAUGGGAGGGCAAAAACAACAAAAGAGAAAACUGCAACUAAUAUAAUCUUUUGAAGUUGAAUACCUUAAAGUCUAAAGUCGGUGUUUUGUGCAUGUUAUAUUAUCAAAAUCUGUUGUAAACAAGUACUGAAAAAGAAUUUUGAGAUAAAAGUCGC